AACGAACGCUGGCGGCAGGCUUAACACAUGCAAGUCGAACGGGCGUAGCAAUACGUCAGUGGCGGACGGGUGAGUAACACGUGGGAAUAUGCCUUUCGGUUCGGAACAACUCGGGGAAACCCGUGCUAAUUCCGGAUACGCCCUUACGGGGAAAGAUUUAUCGCCGAAAGAUUAGCCCGCGUUGGAUUAGCUAGUUGGUGAGGUAAAGGCUCACCAAGGCGACGAUCCAUAGCUGGUUUGAGAGAACGACCAGCCACACUGGGACUGAGACACGGCCCAGACUCCUACGGGAGGCAGCAGUGGGGAAUCUUGGACAAUGGAGGAAACUCUGAUCCAGCCAUGCCGCGUGAGUGAAUGAAGG
rnacentral:rRNA from 1 species